UACAGAGGGUGCGAGCGUUGUCCGGAAUCACUGGGCGUAAAGGGCGCGUAGGCGGCUCAGUAAGCGUGCGGUGAAAGCCCGGGGCUCAACCCCGGGUCGGCCGUGCGAACUGCAGAGCUGGAGCACUGUAGAGGCAGGUGGAAUUCCGGGUGUAGCGGUGGAAUGCGUAGAUAUCAGGAGGAACACCGAUGGCGAAGGCAGAUCUCUGGGCCGUAACUGACGCUGAGGAGCGAAAGCGUGGGGAGCGAACAGG
rnacentral:rRNA from 1 species